CAAUAAGCGGAGGAAAAGAAACUAACAAGGAUUCCCCUAGUAACGGCGAGUGAAGCGGGAAGAGCUCAAAUUUGAAAUCUGGUAGCCUUCGGUUGCCCGAGUUGUAAUCUAGAGAAGUGUUUUCCGCGUUGGCCCAUGUACAAGUCCCUUGGAACAGGGCGUCAUAGAGGGUGAGAAUCCCGUCCUUGACAUGGACCCCCAAUGCUUUGUGAUACACUUUCAACGAGUCGAGUUGUUUGGGAAUGCAGCUCAAAAUGGGUGGUGAAUUCCAUCUAAAGCUAAAUAUUGGCGAGAGACCGAUAGCGAACAAGUACCGUGAGGGAAAGAUGAAAAGCACUUUGGAAAGAGAGUUAAACAGUACGUGAAAUUGUUGAAAGGGAAACGAUUGAAGUCAGUCAUGCUCUUUGGAUUAAGCCGUUCUGCGGUGUAUUUCAUUGAGCGGGGUCAACAUCAGUUUUGAUCGCUGGAAAAGGGCAGGAGGAAGGUAGCACUCUCGGGUGAACUUAUAGCCUCUUGUCGUAUACAGUGAUUGGGACUGAGGAACGCAGCAUGCCUUUUGGCCGGGAUUCGUCCACGUACAUGCUUAGGAUGUUGACAUAAUGGCUUUAAACGACCCGUCUUGAAACACGGACCAAGGAGUCUAACAUAUCUGCGAGUAUUUG
rnacentral:rRNA from 1 species